rnacentral:rRNA from 1 species
GUGGGGAAUAUUGGGCAAUGGGGGAAACCCUGACCCAGCAACGCCGCGUGAAGGAAGAAGGUUUUCGGAUCGUAAACUUCUAUCCUUGGUGAAGAUAAUGACGGUAGCCAAGAAGGAAGCCCCGGCUAACUACGUGCCAGCAGCCGCGGUAAUACGUAGGGGGCAAGCGUUGUCCGGAAUGAUUGGGCGUAAAGGGCGCGUAGGCGGCCUGGUAAGUCUGGAGUGAAAGUCCUGCUUUUAAGGUGGGAAUUGCUUUGGAUACUGUCUGGCUUGAGUGCAGGAGAGGUAAGUGGAAUUCCCUGUGUAGCGGUGAAAUGCGUAGAGAUCGGGAGGAACACCAGUGGCGAAGGCGACUUACUGGACUGUAACUGACGCUGAGGCGCGAAAGUGUGGGGAGCAAACAGGAUUAGAAACCCUGGUAGUCC